rnacentral:lncRNA from 1 species
GGCCAGAUGGCCAGUUGGUGAAUGCCACAGCAUAGUCCUUCAGUCUCUAUGUGCCAGAUGGCCAGUUGGUGUGGACCACAGCAUAGUCCUUUAGUCUCCAUGGGCCAGAUGGCCAGUUGGUGAGGGCCACAGCAUAGUCCUUUAGUUUCUGUGGGCCAGGUGGCCAGUUCGUGAGGGCCACAUCAUAGUCAUUUAGUCUCUAUGGGCCAGGUGCCAGUUGUUGAGGACUACAGCAUAGUCAUUUAGUCUCUAUGUGCCAGAUGGCCAGUUGGUGAGGGCCACAGCAUAGUCCUUUAGUCUCUAUGGGCCAGUUGGUGAGGGCCACAGCAUAGUCCUUUUGUCUCUAUGGGCCAGAUGGCCAGUUGGUGAGGGCCACAGCAUAGUCCUUUAGUCUCUAUGGGCCAGUUGGUGAGGGCCACAGCAUAGUCCUUUAGUCUCUAUGGGCCAGAGGGCCAGUUGGUGAGGGCCACAGCAUAGUCCUUUAGUCUCUAUGGGCCAGGUAGCCAGUUGGUGAGGGCCACAGCAUAGUCCUUUUGUCUCUAUGGACCAGAUGGCCAGUUGUUGAGGGCCACAGCAUAGUCCUUUAGUCUCUAUGGGCCAGAUGGCAAGUUGUUGAGGAUCACAUCAUAGUCCUUUAGUUUCUAUAAGUUAGGUAGCCAGUUGGUGAGGGCCACAUCAUUGUCCUUUAGUCUCUAUGGGCCAGGUGGCCAGUUGUUGAGGACCACAGCAUAGUCCUUUAGUCUCUAUGUGCCAGAUGUCCAGUUGGUGAGGGCCACAGCAUAGUCCUUUAGUCUCUAUGUGCCAGAUGUCCAGUUGGUGAGGGCCACAGCAUAGUCCUUUAGUCUCUAUGGGCCAGAUGGCCAGUUGGUGGGGCCACAGCAUAGUCCUUUAGUCUCUAUGGGCCAGAUGGCCAGUUGGUGAGGGCCACAGCAUAGUCCUUUAGUCUCUAUGGGCCAGUUGGUGAGGGCCACAGCAUAGUCCUUUUGUCUCUAUGGGCCAGAGGGCCAGUUGGUGAGGACCACAGCAUAGUCCUUUAGUCUCUAUGGGCCAGAUGACCAGUUGGUGAGGGCCACAGCGUAGUCCUUUAGUCUCCAAGGGCCAGAUGACCCAGUUGGUGAGGGCCACAGCAUAGUCCUUUAGUCUCUAUGGGCCAGGUAGCCAGUUGGUGAGGGCCACAGCAUAGUCCUUUAGUCUCUAUGGGCCAGGUAGCCAGUUGGUGAGGGCCACAUCAUAGUCCUUUAGUCUCUAUGGACCAGAUGACCAGUUGGUGAGGGCCACAUCAUAGUCCUUUAGUCUCUAUGGGCCAGAUGGCCAGUUGGUGAGGGCCACAGCAUAGUCCUUUAGUCUCUAUGGACCAGGUAGCCAGUUGGUGAGAGCCACAGCAUGGAGAAAGAAAAAUAUGAUCACCCUGUUACAGGAAAACUAAAACGUG